UGAGCAAUCUGCCCUUCACAUCGGAAUAACCAUUGGAAACGAUGGCUAAUACCGAAUAUGACUUCGGAUCGCAUGAUCUGAAGUGGAAAGCUCCGGCGGUGAAGGAUGAGCUCGCGGCCUAUCAGCUUGUUGGUGAGGUAAUAGCUCACCAAGGCGAUGACGGGUAGCCGGCCUGAGGAGGGUGACCCGGCCACACUGGGACUGAGACGACCGGCA
rnacentral:rRNA from 1 species